rnacentral:misc_RNA from 1 species
AACGCACCUUGCGCCCUUUGGCUAUUCCGAAGGGCAUGCCUGUUUGAGUAUCAUGAACACCUCAACUCUCAUGGUCUGCCAUGAUGAGCUUGGACUUUGGGGGUCUUGCCGGCGUAAUUGUCGGCUCCUCUCAAAUGAAUCAGCUUGCCAGUGUUUGGUGGCGUCACAGGUGUGAUAACUAUCUACGCUUGUGAUCUUCCAUCAGGUUACCUUCAGUAAUGGGGGUUCGCUGGAGCUCACAGAUGUGUCUCUCCUCAGGGAGGACAGCUUUUUAAUGUUUGAUCUCAAAUCAGGUAGGACUACCCGCUGAACUUAA